AAUCAUGGUAUUGAAUAGCCCCCUAGCCAAGAAGGGCUUAGUUCCUCAUAAACACAAAACAAAGAUACAUAAAUUAAACAUUGAAAACAAAGAAUGAAAACACCUAAAAACGCUCCAGCAAUCCAAAUUGAAUGGCGAGCACGUCCAAGGGUCUCCUUCCUUCUUUUUUGCUGCGGCACAAGGGAUGGGUAAAGGUUUUUGUGGUGAUUUGUGGUGGUGGAUGGAUAUAGGUUGGUUAUGGUGAAGGGUGGAGUGCUUAGAAUGGUCAGAAAGGGGUCUUAUUUAUAGGGAAAGGAAGGGCUACGAAUCUAUUAAAUUUGUAAUCAGAAAUCAAUGGAAAAUAGGCAAGAAAGGUGCAGGAAUUAAAGAGAAUAGGAAAGGGAAAUUCGGUAGAAAUUGUAGGACAGAUUUAGGAAUGUGUUUUGGGUCACAAAAUAGGUAAGAAUCCUCUCCCUUUGUGCGGCAAGGAUUGAGACAAAAGGGUAAUGCAAUUUUGGGUCAGAAAAUAGGUAAGAAAGAGGGAUAUGUGCAAAUUUUGGAAGAGAAAGGGAAAGGGAAUUGCGGCAAGGAAGGAUCCUUGCAGAUUUGGUAUGGCAUGGACUUUAGGGAAGGUUUAGGGCUUCUAGAAAUAUGUAAUUAGGCAACCUAACAUAUUUAGGAAGCCUCCUUGCAGCUGGAACAUAGGUGAAUUAGGAUUAGGAAAGUUUAGAGCCAAAGAUGGAAACCUCCAAGAAUAGAAACUUCCAACUUUAGAAACUUUGGCUUCCAAUUCUGAACUCUUUGUUCUUCAUUUUCAUUUCUUCAUUUCUUUCAUCUCAUUAUUCAUUCCUAGCCUUCUUUGAUCUUCAAUUUCGUCCAUCCACCUUGCUCCAAGCAUAAGCUAUCCAUUCCAUGCCCAAAACUGCUCCAAAAGGCUCCAAAAUGCACAUGUUUGCAUACUUUGUCCUUAAAACCUGAAAUUUCACGAAAAUAGCUUAAAAUACUAAAAUUACUAAGUGCUAGCAAUGUAAAUGCAAGGAAACAAGCUAAUUAAGUUGCAUAAAUAUGCUCCUAUCAAAAGGCAUUCUCCACUAUCCUUCUUCUAAGGCUUGAACUAGUAACUUUUCACAAGUAUUCUUAGAACUGAGAGUAGUGGUACUAUAUAGCAGAUACAACAACUUUCAAAGCAUAGCUAAAGUCAUGAUUGCAAGACUAAGUUAAACACGUACAUUCCCAUUAUUUAAUUGCAAAUAGCUCUAAUCAUGACUCAAAAAGACUAAAAAUUCAAGUGAUCAUAUUCACGUGUGCAUUGUUCAAAUCUUUUGGAUUUACAACAACUUGACUAGGAAGCUUACCUAGUUCUCUUUGGUUUAGCAUUGCUGCAAUCUGUCCAACCUGAGUUUCUAAUUUUGCAAUUGAAUGAUCAAUCUUGUUCAUGAAAGCUUGGGUUGAAACCUUAAGGUCUUGAGUGCUUUGAGCUAAAGAACUCACUUGUCCAGCCAAUGUACUCAUGAUGUCUUCAAGAGGUUUGCUUGGUCUAGCUUGGGGAAGUGUCUGAUUUUGCUGAUAGGAGCAUAUUUAUGCGACUUAGUUGGCUUGUUCUUGUGCAUUUAUGUCGUGUUUCCUUAGUUAUUUUAAUGUUUAAAGUCAUUUUCAUGUGUUUUCAGAUUUUAAGGACAAAGUAGGCAAGAAGAUGCAUUUUGGAGCAUUUUGGAGCAAAAUGGAGCUUGGAAUGCAUGUCACAUAUUUGGAACCAAGGUUUGGACGAAAUUGAAGACUUAAAGAGGCUAAGAGUGUGAAGACUUAGUGUACAAAGGAUCAUGAAUUCAGCCACAAAAGAACAAGAGCAUCCUUGCCGUGCAAUCCACAUUGCAUUCCCUUUGGAUUCCCAUGCAUGCUUAAUCAUCCUUGUCCCCUAAAAUAUUUCUGAUUUCAUGCCCUACACUCAAUUAUCACACUCAAUUGCUGCAUACCUCUUGUUCCUUCACCCAUCUAAUUUCACACAACUUUCACAACCAUUCCAUGCACCAAUUGAUGCUCCAU
rnacentral:lncRNA from 1 species